CAGCCAUACCACUUUGAAAUACCGGUUCUCGUACAAUUCAGCGAAGUUAAGCAACGUCAAGUCUGGUCAGUAUUUAGAUGGGUGACCGCUUGGAAAUGCCAGGUUCUGCAAG